rnacentral:rRNA from 1 species
GAUGAACGCUAGCGAUAGGCUUAACACAUGCAAGUCGAGGGGCAGCAUGGUCUUAGCUUGCUAAGACUGAUGGCGACCGGCGCACGGGUGCGUAACGCGUAUGCAACUUGCCUCACAAAGGGGGAUAACCCGUCGAAAGACGGACUAAUACCGCGUACACUCCAUCUUGGGCAUCCAAGGUAGAGGAAAUGAAAUUCGCUGUGAGAUAGGCAUGCGUCCCAUUAGCUAGUUGGUGAGGUAACGGCUCACCAAGGCGACGAUGGGUAGGGGAACUGAGAGGUUGAACCCCCACACUGGUACUGAGACACGGACCAGACUCCUACGGGAGGCAGCAGUGAGGAAUAUUGGUCAAUGGGCGAGAGCCUGAACCAGCCAAGUCGCGUGAAGGAUGACUGUCUUAUGGAUUGUAAACUUCUUUUAUACGGGAAUAACAAGAGUCACGUGUGACUCCCUGCAUGUACCGUAUGAAUAAGCAUCGGCUAACUCCGUG